UCCUCCUGCUGACGGGGCUUCUCCCCAAACAGUCCAGGCUGGGAGCCCCGUCCCUGGGGGAGCCACGGUGGUGUUGGGGGCACAGAAUGGAGGCCUCUGCUGAGCUGGGGGGCGAGCACAGGAAGGGGCGUGGGAUCCCAGGACUGAGCCCUGUGCUGUGCGCCAGAGCCGCCUGCCUCUGCCCCUUUGCUGGUAACUGUGCUCCUGCCAGCCGUUGCUUCCUUGUCCUACUGAAUCUUCAAACAAGAACGGGUUGUUCCUGAAUACCAACUCCAUCCUGGGAUUUGUUGGGAGGUACCAGUCCCUUGAGAGGAAAAGAGGAGAGCCCUUGCCUGCAGGGACCUGCAGUCCUGACCCUGGCCAUCCUGGAAAGCAGAUCCUGCUACGAGCCGGGAAGGUGCUGGGCCCAGGCACGGGCCACUCCCACACGCUCCCACACCCGGGUUGCCACCUCGCUCCCCAGGAUGGCUCCAGCUGGGUGGCAGAAGCUGGACCAGGAGGCAGGGAGCCCACGUGUGCGAGGCAGGGGUGGAUGCCCCUCCCCCAGUGUCCCUGGGAGAAGCCAGGAGGGAGGCGAAGACUUCCUGUCCACGUUCGAGAGACCCUGGGCUCUGCCUCCUGCCCCAGCGCAGUAGCCUCCUCUGAGCACCAGG